UACGUAGGGGGCAAGCGUUGUCCGGAAUCAUUGGGCGUAAAGCGCGUGUAGGCGGUUCAGUAAGUCUGCUGUGAAAGUCCAGGGCUCAACCCUGGGAUGCCGGUGGAUACUGCUGAACUAGAGUACGGAAGAGGCGAGUGGAAUUCCCGGUGUAGCGGUGAAAUGCGCAGAUAUCGGGAGGAACACCAAUUGCGAAGGCAGCUCGCUGGGACGUCACUGACGCUGAGGAGCGAAAGCGUGGGUAGCAAACAGG
rnacentral:rRNA from 1 species